GCGGGAUGACGGCCUUCGGGUGUAAACCGCUUUCAGCAGGAAGAAGCCCCUUGGGGUGACGGUACCUGCAGAAGAAGUACCGGGCUAACUACGUGCCAGCAGCCGCGGUAAUACGUAGGGUACAAGCGUUGUCCGGAAUUAUUGGGCGUAAAGAGCUCGUAGGUGGUUGGUCACGUCUGCUGUGGAAACGCAACGCUUAACGUUGCGCGUGCAGUGGGUACGGGCUGACUAGAGUGCAGUAGGGGAGUCUGGAAUUCCUGGUGUAGCGGUGAAAUGCGCAGAUAUCAGGAGGAACACCGGUGGCGAAGGCGGGACUCUGGGCUGUAACUGACACUGAGGAGCGAAAGCAUGGGGAGCGAACAGGAUUAGAUACCCUGGUAGUCCAUGCCGUAAACGUUGGGCACUAGGUGUGGGGGACAUUCCACGUUNUCCGCGCCGUAGCUAACGCAUUAAGUGCCCCGCCUGGGGAGUACGGUCGCAAGGCUAAAACUCAAAGGAAUUGACGGGGGCCCGCACAAGCGGCGGAGCAUGCGGAUUAAUUCGAUGCAACGCGAAGAACCUUACCAAGGCUUGACAUACACCAGACCGGGCUGGAAACAGUCCUUCCCCUUUGGGGUUGGUGUACAGGUGGUGCAUGGUUGUCGUCAGCUCGUGUCGUGAGAUGUUGGGUUAAGUCCCGCAACGAGCGCAACCCUCGUUCUAUGUUGCCAGCACGUAAUGGUGGGAACUCAUAGGAGACUGCCGGGGUCAACUCGGAGGAAGGUGGGGAUGACGUCAAAUCAUCAUGCCCUUUAUGUCUUGGGCUUCACGCAUGCUACAAUGGCUGGUACAGAGAGAUGCGAGACCGUGAGGUUUUAGCGAAUCCCUUAAAGCCAGUCUCAGUUCGGAUCGUAGUCUGCAAUUCGACUACGUGAAUCGGAGUC
rnacentral:rRNA from 1 species